ACUACAUUUGCUCACAGAUCACCAAAAUAUAUUCGAAACGUAUAUAAAUUGAUGCAUUUAGCAACACAACAAUCCACAAGACCUGGCUUUAUGGACCGACAGGUCUGAGCCAUAAAGAGAGAAAAAAAAAAUUAAUCCACAUUAUUUUUUUCUGCUGCACGUAGGCACGGAAGAGCCUAAAAGAUAAUAUUAACAUAUGUUCGAUGUAACGGUGAGCGUAUUCAGGUCAAUGAAAUGGCAUUUAAGAACAGUAAUAAGCAAACAUUGGAACUUGAUAGCUAUCGGUGUUACGUUUUUUCUUAAUACUCGUGUCAGCCAAUGGUUCGGCCAAGCAAUUUCAGGAAUAUACACCGGCUCACCAGUGUUUUUCGAAUGACGGAAAGUUAAAUCGCUUCAGCAGGCACCGCAGGCACCAGCAUACAUCUCGAUCGGGUGUGAUUAGCCAAAAUAACUGCAAUGUACAAUCAACAGAAGACUAUUGACAACGUUCCGUGGUGCGUCAACUGAAAUUACAGUGUAUAUUACAUUUGUGAUACUAAGCACCAAUAAAUGCCUUCUGGACCUGUAUGCCAGAACCGUGCCAUAUCUA